rnacentral:rRNA from 1 species
CGGGCACAGCGGGAAGCCAGGUGGUGACACCGAGCAGAACCCGAAAGCCGUUCUCAGUUCGGAUCGGAGUCUGCAACCCGACUCCGUGAAGCUGGAUUCGCUAGUAAUCGCGCAUCAGCCAUGGCGCGGUGAAUACGUUCCCGGGCCUUGUACACACCGCCCGUCAAGCCAUGGAAGCCGGGGGGCGCUUGAAGUGCGUUGCCGCAAGGCGCGCCCUAGAGCGAAACCGGUGACUGGGGCUAAGUCGUAACAAGGUAUC